rnacentral:rRNA from 1 species
GUAGGGAAUAUUGGGCAAUGGACGAAAGUCUGACCCAGCCAUGCCGCGUGCAGGAAGAAGGCCUUCUGGGUUGUAAACUGCUUUUAUCUGGGAAGAAAACACCUAUGCGUAGGGAACUGACGGUACCAGAUGAAUAAGCACCGGCUAACUCCGUGCCAGCAGCCGCGGUAAUACGGAGGGUGCAAGCGUUGUCCGGAUUUAUUGGGUUUAAAGGGUGCGUAGGCGGCCCGUUAAGUCAGUGGUGAAAGCCUCCAGCUCAACUGGAGAACUGCCAUUGAUACUGACGGGCUUGAGUACAGACGAGGUUGGCGGAAUUGAUUGUGUAGCGGUGAAAUGCAUAGAUACAAUCAAGAACACCGAUUGCGUAGGCAGCUAACUAGGCUGUAACUGACGCUGAGGCACGAAAGCGUGGGGAGCGAACAGGAUUAGAAACCCUAGUAGUCC